rnacentral:rRNA from 1 species
AUUGAACGCUGGCGGCAGGCCUAACACAUGCAAGUCGAACGAGUGGCGGACGGGUGAGUAAUGUCUGGGAAACUGCCAGAUGGAGGGGGAUAACUACUGGAAACGGUAGCUAAUACCGCAUACCAUCGGAUGUGCCCAGAUGGGAUUUGCUAGUAGGUGGGGUAACGGCUUACCUAGGCGACGAUCCCUAGCUGGUCUGAGAGGAUGACCAGCCCCACUGGAACUGAGACACGGUCCAGACGCCUACGGUAGGCAGCAGUUGUGAAGAUUGCACAAUGGGCGCAAGCCUGAUGCAGCCAUGCCGCGUGUAUGAAGAAGGCCUUCGGGUUGUAAAGUACUUUCAGCGAGGAGGCGUUACUCGCAGAAGAAGCACCGGCUAACUCCGGGCCAGCAGCCGCGGUAAUUC